GUGGGUAACCGGCCCCGAGGUUCGGAAUAGCCCUCCUAACGGAGGGGUAAUACCGGAUGUUCCCGUGUGGAGGCAUCUCCGUGCGGGCAAAGCUCCGGCGCCCUGGGAGGGGCCCACGUGAUAUUAGCUAGUUGGCGGGGUAACGGCCCACCAAGGCGGAGAUGUCUAGCGGGUGUGAGAGCACGACCCGCGCCACUCGCACUGAGACACUGGCGAGACACCUACGGGUGGCUGCAGUCGAGGAUCUUCGGCAAUGCGCGCAAGCGCGACCGAGCGACGCCGCGUGUGCGACGAAGGCCUUCGGGUUGUAAAGCACUGUCGAGGGGGAGAAAAGCCCGCAAGGGUGUGAUCUAUCCCUGGAGGAAGCUCGGGCUAAGUUCGUGCCAGCAGCCGCGGUAAGACGAACCGAGCGAACGUUGUUCGGAAUCACUGGGCUUAAAGGGCGCGUAGGCGGGCUGCAAAGUCUGGGGUGAAAUCCGUCGGCUCAACCGGCGAAGUGCCUCGGAUACUGGCGGUCUC
rnacentral:rRNA from 1 species